rnacentral:rRNA from 1 species
UAUCCGAUUAUUGGGCGUAAAGAGCUCGUAGGCGGUUUGUCGCGUCUGCCGUGAAAGUCCGGGGCUCAACUCCGGAUCUGCGGUGGGUACGGGCAGACUAGAGUGAUGUAGGGGAGACUGGAAUUCCUGGUGUAGCGGUGAAAUGCGCAGAUAUCAGGAGGAACACCGAUGGCGAAGGCAGGUCUCUGGGCAUUAACUGACGCUGAGGAGCGAAAGCAUGGGGAGCGAACAGGAUUAGAUACCCUGGUAGUCCAUGCCGUAAACGUUGGGCACUAGGUGUGGGGGACAUUCCACGUUUUCCGCGCCGUAGCUAACGCAUUAAGUGCCCCGCCUGGGGAGUACGGCCGCAAGGCUAAAACUCAAAGGAAUUGACGGGGGCCCGCACAAGCGGCGGAGCAUGCGGAUUAAUUCGAUGCAACGCGAAGAACCUUACCAAGGCUUGACAUGAAUUAGUAAGGCGCAGAAAUGCGUCCCCCUCUUGAGGCUGGUUUACAGGUGGUGCAUGGUUGUCGUCAGCUCGUGUCGUGAGAUGUUGGGUUAAGUCCCGCAACGAGCGCAACCCUCGUUCUAUGUUGCCAGCGCGUGAUGGCGGGGACUCAUAGGAGACUGCCGGGGUCAACUCGGAGGAAGGUGGGGACGACGUCAAAUCAUCAUGCCCCUUAUGUCUUGGGCUUCACGCAUGCUACAAUGGCCGGUACAAAGGGUUGCGAUACUGUGAGGUGGAGCUAAUCCCAAAAAGCCGGUCUCAGUUCGGAUUGGGGUCUGCAACUCGACCCCAUGAANUCGGAGUCNCUAGUAAUCGCANAUCANCAACGCUGCGGUGAAUAC